GAUGAACGCUGGCGGCGUGCCUAAUACAUGCAAGUCGAGCGAACGGACGAGAAGCUUGCUUCUCUGAUGUUAGCGGCGGACGGGUGAGUAACACGUGGAUAACCUACCUAUAAGACUGGGAAAAUUUCGGGAAACCGGAGCUAAUCCCGGAUAAUCUUUUGAACCGUAUGGUUCAAAAGUGAAAGACGGUCUUGCUGUCACUUAUAGCUGGAUCCGCGCUGCAUUAGCUAGUUGGUAAGGUAACGGCUUACCAAGGCAACGAUGCGUAGCCGACCGGAGAGAGUGAUCGGCCACACUGGAACUUAGACACGGUCCAUACUCCUACGGGAGGCAGCAGUAGGGUAUCUUCCGCAAUAGGCGAAAGCCUGACGGAGCAACGCCGCGUGAGUGAUGAAGAUCUUCGGAGCGUAAAACUCUGUUAUUAGGGAAGAACAUAUGUGUAAGUAACUGUACACAGCUUGACGGUACCUAGUCAGAAAGCCACGGCUAACUACGUG
rnacentral:rRNA from 1 species